GAUGAAGAACGCAGCGAAAUGCGAUAAGUAGUGUGAAUUGCAGAAUUCAGUGAAUCAUCGAAUCUUUGAACGCACAUUGCGCCCUUUGGUAUUCCUUAGGGCAUGCCUGUUCGAGCGUCAUUUGAAACCUCAAGCUCAGCUUGGUGUUGGGUGUCUGUCCCCGCCUCCGCGGGGACUCGCCUCAAAAUCAUUGGCGGCCGGUACGUUGGCUUCGAGCGCAGCAGAAACGCGAACUCGAGGCCCGGCGGAUCGGCGACCAGAAGUCUCUUCUUCACAGUUUGACCUCGGAUCAGGUAGGGAUACCCGCUGAACUUAAGCAUAUCAAUAGCGGAGGA
rnacentral:misc_RNA from 1 species